CGGUGAAAAAAAUCCCGAUUUUCAUUAUAGUGAUCUUCUACAAUCGGCUCUUUAACAUUCAAUGAUCAAUUCACAUCAUUGAGUGCAUAAAUCUUCUUUCAGACUAUGGAUUUCCGAAAGAAGGAAGAUGAGGUUACUGGUUUCAGGAGAAUUAGGGCAUUGUUAAACAAGAAUGGAGGGAGAAGGACGGAGGAAGAAGAACCGAUUUUGCUCCAACGAUUGACUCUCCAUCCACUUCUCAUUCACAUAGAGAGAGAAAAGAGAAAAACCCCUCACAUUUAGGGUUCGUGGGUCUGCGUGAGUGCCUCUGUUGUGAUCAAAAUUCCUUACCAUCAUUCAUCUUCUUCGCAUAACUCUAGCAGGGGUUGAAUGUUCAUUUGAGAGAAUCGAACGAAUCUCAUUACCAGGUUGGUUCAUUCGAAUUUCUUACUAUUCCUCUAAGCAUGGAAGUCACAUUUCUAAUAUUGGUGACCAAAUUUUGAAGAAGUUCUUUCACAUAAGAUGCCAUAUCAAGGAGAUACCAUUGGCCCAUGGUAGGAUCAACAACCAUGGGAGUAAUUCAAACUUCAGUGUAAUUGAAUUUUUUUUUUUAUCCAAAUAACAUCAAGAAAGUAAUCUAUUUAGAAA